ACCACUCUGUCUUUUAAGACUAGCUCCCCUUUCUGCACACCCAUUGCUGCCGUCUCUCCCGCUGCGUAUAAAUGAGUCUUUGGAGUAAGCAAGGUCUCUCUGGGCCAGUUCAAAUUUCUAUGCCUCGGCCCUCGUACUGUGGAAUCCUCCCUCCCAUCUUUUUCCUGCAUAUCUCCGAAAAAAAAAAAAUUAAGUUCUUGGCAUUUCUACGCACGGAUGAAAGACAAGCGGUAGAGGAGGGUGCAGGUGCGGGCGGGCGGAGGCAGGGGCGCCGCGGACGGGCGGCGCGGCGGUGCCUCUUUCCCGCGCGGGAGGCGGCUGGGACCCCGGCCUGGUGCGGGGCCCGCGGCUCUCCGCGCUGCGCAGCCGGAGAGCGGAGGAUUGGGUGUCCGCAGCCCUUUAGAUGCCGCCAGUUUGCAGAGACGGGGCUGCCCCAAGCCUCGGACUCCCACGCCGCAUCCCGAGCGGGAGAAGCGUCGCUCAACCUUGAAUCCGGUUCGGGGACUGACCCGGACUUGACCUCUCCCUCCGCGCCGCCCGCACUCUCGACCGCACACUGUGGCCCGCAAGCCCAGACGUCGCCAGCAUCGCUCUUUGGUCUCGACGCCCAGCUCCGGGCUCUGGCGCCGAGCUUCCAAGCUGGGGUGGGGACCGGACGGUGUUGUCCGCGGAGUUUGGGGGUAAGCAGGAUAGAGGAUCUCGGCUGGUUCUCGAGUGUCGCCGGCGGGUCAGGCCCAUCCUGUGAGAGACCUCCCCAGCGGACCUGGGCAGCCAAGGUCGAAGUUUUAGGAGUGUAAGGCAGCAAGGCCAAGGACAUUAUGGAGGACAGGGCACACACCAUUCCGGCGCUGCCCUCAAACUUGGGGGCUCCAUGCCUUUUGCGGUUAUUUGCUCUGCACCUCAUUCCUCCCGGCCAGCGCGCACAGCCAAACCCCGCGGCGGCCUGAACCGGGAGGAGGUGCGGGGUGGAGAGGCGGCCCUCCUUAGGUCUCCAGCCUGUCACAUCUGCACUUAUUUAAAGCUCGGCUGGUGGUCCUCGCUCUCUGGAAUGCCAAUUGCAGGCCUGGCCGCCUACGACAUUUGCAUUGAUUAGCCAGCCGGUCAUGGGGGAGGCCAAAGGCAGGGAGAAGGGGGUUUGAGGGAGACAGGAGGUUCACUAUAUUCUUCCUGACCCCGUACUGAGUGAGAGUCAGCUUGGGAGCCCAAAGGUGGUUUCCUUCACACCAGAUAAAGAGUUGAAUUCAUCAGGGAACAGAGGACUGAACUUCUAGAACUUUCUAUGUGUAUAGGAAUUGGCUGUUGCCUUGAAGCAUGUUCUUUGUGGUCCACGUGCACACACCACCAUAAAUCUCUGAAGGCUCCAGCGCUGAAUCAGGCAGAGAAGGUGGACAAGCGCUGCGACCUCACCUCUCUCCAGGCCCUGCAAGUCUGUAAGGUAGUGUCUGUGAUACGGUGCUUCCUCAGUGGGCAGCUCUGAGAUGUUUGCUGGUGGCCGGCCAUAAAAAGAGAUUGAUCUGCCUCAUUGGUCAUAUUGUACACCAGCUCUAAAAAGGUACAGGCAACCUGUCUCAGAGUUCUCACCCCCAAGGGGAAGAGGCAAAUACGUUGGUUGAGAAAGACGAAAAGUAAGGCAGCUCCCACAGGCUUGGAGAGAGGAGGGAAGGUUCCCAGAGAAGCGAUUUUUAUGCUAUAAACCUGGGAGAGUUCAGUCUGAUUUUGCAUUUGCCUCUGGACUUCGUAUAAUUAAGGGUGAAAAAUAAGGCCCCUCUGUGUUUCUAUUCCCGUUUGCUUUCUGUGAAGCCUUUACCCAGAGGAAAGUUGUUUUAGUAAUCUGGAAAAGAGAAACCAUGUGCUGAGUCAGCAAAAAUCCUGCACCAGGUCAAUUCAGUUCGGUAAUACUGCUGUGUGUUAGGCACACACUCUCUAGGCCUUGUGGAGAUAAUGGAAAAUAUAUUGGAAUUUUCAUGGCAUAGAAAUGCCCACAAAGCCUGUUGGCAGUUGAGAGCCAGAUUAAAUGUUGUCUUCUAAUGUAAGAAAUCUGAUCUGAACAUGUCUUCUAACAAGCACUACCCCCAACUCCAUUUAACAUGAGAGGGGACAAGAGAAAUACAAUUCUCGAAACAACCCCAAAUACAUAUUUUUUUUUCAAACAGUUGUUUUGCAGAAUGUUUAAACCUUCCUUUCUGUUGUGUUCUUGUGACAGAUGUCUGGGGUGGCUCCAGAGGAUGCAAUCUUAUUUUUCAUUUUGAAUCAUUAAAAGUAUUUCUUAAAAAUGCAUUUUUAAAAGGUCUGAGGAGUCUCCUUGCAAAUGCU
rnacentral:lncRNA from 9 species